CCCCCCACUCCCCACCGUGUGUCGAUUUGGCAGUCCAAACUCUACACACUGACAAGCAAAAAAAAAAAAAAAAAACCGACAACGCAUGAUGUUACACACCCUUUUGCCCGAUAGAGAAGACGGGGGACUGCUGCUUCUGACAACGCUAGAGCGAGCGUGAGGCAAAAUAUUAGAGUGAGGGAGCAGGGCCAAAUUGGGGUUUAAAUUUAGAAAGAGCCUUUUUUUUUUUUGGUCGGUGGUCGGUCCGUCGUCGCCAGCGUUCAAUUUAGCAAAUCGCCUAAACUUUGACUAACGAGUCGAGCCGGCCGCGAGGAGAAUAGGAUGAACAUAAAAACACAGCAAAAUAAAAAAUAAAAAAAAAAACAAACAAAAUCGGUUCGGAUUUAGUUUUAUGACAAACUACCGCAACCAAACGAAAUGUGUGUGUUUUUGUGGUUUGCAAGAUAAUGUAUGGAAGGGAAUAUGUUUGAUAUUUCACCUUUUGGGCCGACGACACCUCCAGCGGUACAAUCGUAAAUUAUGGUUGAUUAAAUUAUGGUAGUAAAACGCCGCGAGUGGAUGAUUUUUAUCGAUUUUGAAGUUAUUGAUAUUUAAUCAGCUUAUAUGCUAGCCCAAAGUAGCCCACACUUGAGGAUGAAGAUUUGGACGGUAAAAUUUACGAUGUUUGCAUAGCAGAUCUUUUUACUGUAUUGUGUUAUCGUUUUUGUGUGGUCAUUUUUGAUUUAUUACAGCGCGCAUAAGCAGCAUUCUAAAUCUUAAUAGAAAGCCAGUAUAUUAACCAGCGACGGCAUCUCGAUGUGAUGCGCGCUUUUAUGUUGGCAGCUCGCUGAUGAUGCCCGUGUGACCCAAAGGCAAGAGUGAUAAAAGCGAACAGCAACAACAAUCGAACAAACAAAAAAGUGCUUGAGGCGUUUACUUGUGCGUGGAGCAUAUUUACAGCACCAGCACCCUUUUUCGCGGCAGCUAAAUUUUUACCCCUGCCAACAAGGAACAAAACGCUCAAGAAUGGGUGCUGAUGCCCCAAUGGCUUUUCUGUUUUCUGUUUUCUUAUUAACCUCCAAAUCCUAACAUCCUUCAGCGCGUUUCGCUUUUUUUCUACAGGGCCAGUUUAGCACCCCUGGUGCUCCCACAGGCUUUUUAUUCUUCUAGUUUAGAAAUUCUCCCUUUCUUUUCGCCGGUAUCGCCAACCAAAAAAAAAAAAAAAAAAAACUUGCCUAUCAUUCUCAUGGCAUGGAAACAGCGCAGCGUCCUGUGCUACCAACGUAUCAGUGUGUGUUUGCACGCCAUCCAAAACUGUAUCGAGCGUUAGAGCAAACGGAAUGGAACACACUCUGCGCCACUGCUUCUGCCAAACUCUACGCAGAUAGAGUGAUAGAGAGAGAGAGACAGGAGUGCGGCGAAAAAAAGCACAUGUGCGAGGGACUCCACAACGGGUAACACACACAAAAAAAAAAAAACUACGCAAAGCUGUCCGGUGCGUGUGCUUGUGGCACCAGGGGAAGCCGAAAUUGUGCGAAAAGAGCAACAGUGAGGGAGCGAUACCAUUCGGCGGAGGAGCGAAUGCAUGAGACACCAUUCUAAUGCGAAUUCGCACACCGUUUGUGUGCGCUGGUAUUGGUGGUGUGCCGAUUCCACGCGUAGAUGAGAUGCGUAAUCUAACACAUUGCUCCCCCCCCCAUGGAGGUAAGACAAAUAUAAAGAGGAAGAGAACUACUGCUCCACCUGUAACGGUCGUUUUUUUUGUGUGUUGCACUGAUCAUGGUGGUGUGGUGUGCGUGCGGCUUAGAUGGCGGCGGAUAUGGUUUACGCACACACGGCGCUACCACUACACACAGACACGUCCGAAGCACGCAGCUCGAUCGCUGCGGACACGAUUGGAGUUUAGAAUGCGCGCGAAGCGUUUACGGAAGCGUUGAACAGGCUGUGUGUUACGCCAAAAUUUCGCAGAUCCGCUUUUAAGCGCAGUUAACACACGCACCUCUCUCUCUCUCCUCGAGGCGAGGCAAAGAACCAGAGAGAGAGAGAGAGAGACAAUAAGAGAAAAAAAGGUAAAGAGCAACUGUUCAACUUGAGGGGUUAUUUCGAUUGGCACAAAACAAACGACGGCUGGGACGUGGUGGAGAGAGAGAGAGAGCGAGCUAGCUGGUUAUCAUUGAGUCUUAUCACGUACCAUCCCAUCAUCAUCCGCUGGAUGGCGCUAGCGGAUGGUGUCUUUCUUUCCUUUCAAGGCCGAUGAAUGGCUCGCAAGCAGUGGACAAAAAUAAAAGCAUCCAAAACAAGGAACACGUCGACGAUCAGACGAUCUGGGAAUCUAAUCCAUCCGGUGUUGCAAAAGCGAGUGCAUCUGAUGACUAGACCACCCGGUCCGUCCGCUCGUUGUGAAGUGUAAAGCGCUGUUUUGUUCUACAUUCUGUCAUAUUAAAAGCAUCACGUUUGGCAGCACGUUGUCCAGGUUUGGAGGAGAUGUUCCGGAUCAGGUAAUUGGAUUUUCUCUCUCUCUCUCUCUCUCUCUCUCUCUCUCUCUCUCUCUCUCUCUCUCUCUCUCUCUCUCUCUCUCUCUCUCUCUCUCUCUCUCUCUCUCUCUCUCUCUCUCUCUCUCUCUCUCACCCCGAGCAAACAUCAACGAAUAACUAACUGCAAUCAGUACAGAUAGGCCAACUAUACCACCUCUUUUAGGACGUAAACUUCGCCCCGUCCCUUGGACAGACAGCUUCGAACCAAGCAAUUACCAUGCUCGAAGGACACGCCGGCCUGGAACGAAUGCUGGGGAAAGAAGAGGGCACUGAAGUGCGAUUGUAAAGCUGUACUCUGCAUCACAGACACUAGGACCAGCGGUUACCCUGCAGCUAGCAGGGACAAUAUAAGGAAGGAUACACGGUAGCACGUGCGCGUGCGCGCGCGCGCCGGUUCGCUCAUGUUUCUUAAUGAAGUCCGAAGUCAUGUUUUAGCCUCCGGUAAGUCACCGGCGUGCGCGUCCGUAUACCCCCCCAAUACGUACGGCCGGACGGGUGUGUGAGGGUGUGUAAGAACAACAAUAAAAAAAAACGAAACAUGACAGCCCCGCGCUUGUGAGGCGCUUUAUCUCUUCCCGGAGUAAUUAGCAUCCAUGAUCACACACACACACACAAGAAAUAGAGGGAAUGCAGGGCAGAACACACCACACACACUGGACGAACCCGCGCAAAUGCAAAUGAAGUAAUGGAGUAGCUUUCACUGUCCCAAUGCUCUUCCACACCACAACCUCUUCCCUUUUCAGCCCUACACACCCGUAGCAAAAUCCCGGUGAGGCACAAAUUAACGAUCCUGGCUGGUGUUGGGAACGUUUUCUUUUUAACGACCAACCCCAAGGCACUAGCACAAGCGUGUGGGAGGUGGUCCCUCGCGGACCCACGACCACCACCACCGCCAUAAAUCAUUUCCCUGGAGGUAAUGUUCGAGGGUAAUUUCAAGCGCGCCAGACACGUGGAGAUUGUCCAUCACCUGGAGUGGCUUCGAACUAAGUCAUAAAACCACAGGCGGAAGGUCUGACAGCACAUCCUCCCAAACUGCGACAACUCCAAACUCGCUGCACACAAAGCGCUCGGGGAGUCUUAGCAUACGCAGCAUCACCAUCCUGAUAUGUCGGAACAUCGUGCGUUGGUCCUCUGUAGGGUUGGUAACGUUUGGCGCAGGAAUUUUGUUCGCAGCAAACUACAGCACACACACACACACACACACACACAAAAACAACAACCCAUCACUGACCCUGGACAACGCAGCUUGCGCGCAGUUUUGCGUCGUUGUUGGUUGCCCAGACCUCCUUCCCAUCCCUCCAGGCUUUGGCACUGGCGUUUUGUUGUCUUCGCGUUCGUUGUUUGUUUACGAGAGUGGGAGUUCCUCCGAGGCUCUGAAAUGCUGCGCGGGAGAUGGGGGCGCGCAAAAACGUGUGCGCGAGAUGUGUUGUACGGAUGGGGCCACGCCGAUGCCCCGCAGCAGAAACACGACCGCGAAAGAUGUUACGUGUAUGAUAAUGAGAGUGUGCGAGCGGGCGCGCGCACUCCGAGGGAGUGGCGCACGGAGCGAGGGGACGAAAUUUGAGAACAUGCCGGAGCGCACCCUAACCCCGGAGCGCACUUUACCGAUUUUGCUGGCAAGAGUCGCCCGGUCCGUCGCCUACACCCACCAACCCAGCACAUCUCUCUGCUCCUCCACACGCAUACUGUGCAUGCUCCAAUAUUGGGUUCGAGACACGCCGUCCGAGCUUGUUGCAAUGGUUAUCGGGGGAGGAGGGCGAGAUAUUUAGAGCGGUGCUUUAUUUUGAUGCUCUGUUUCCACCUCCUGCAAAGGGGCUGUGCGGAUCUAAGCGCCUUCCGGGGCAACAUACAGAUCCCCGGACUUUCCCAGACGCACACACAAGCACAAGAGCUUGGGCCAGGCACAUAGAGCGCACACGCAGGAAUCAAAACUGUACCAGAAUAGUGCGGCGUGAUCGUCAGGCUGUUUGCUGCAGAAGAAGAGGUACACUGAACUCCCCCUGGAGAGGCGUGCGUUUUUUUUUUUUUUUAUCUUGGAUUGCUUUCUUCCAAUGCGCAGUGUCCACCUACAUCGCCAAGAA